rnacentral:rRNA from 1 species
UACGUAGGGGGCAAGCGUUGUCCGGAAUCAUUGGGCGUAAAGAGCGCGUAGGCGGCCCUGUAAGUCCGCUGUGAAAGUCAAGGGCUCAACCCUUGAAUGCCGGUGGAUACUGCAGGGCUAGAGUCCGGAAGAGGCGAGUGGAAUUCCUGGUGUAGCGGUGAAAUGCGCAGAUAUCAGGAGGAACACCAAUUGCGAAGGCAGCUCGCUGGGACGUUACUGACGCUGAGACGCGAAAGCGUGGGGAGCAAACAGG